rnacentral:rRNA from 1 species
UUCUUCUAAAGCUAAAUACCGGCCAGAGACCGAUAGCGCACAAGUAGAGUGAUCGAAAGAUGAAAAGCACUUUGGAAAGAGAGUCAAACAGCACGUGAAAUUGUUGAAAGGGAAGCGCUUGCAGCCAGACUUGCUUACAGUUGCUCA